rnacentral:rRNA from 1 species
GUGUCAGCAGCCGCGGUAAUACGGAGGGGGCUAGCGUUGUUCGGAAUUACUGGGCGUAAAGCGCGCGUAGGCGGACCUGCAAGUCGGGGGUGAAAGCCCGAGGCUCAACCUCGGAACUGCCUUCGAUACUGCGGGUCUCGAGUCCGGGAGAGGUGAGUGGAAUUCCUAGUGUAGAGGUGAAAUUCGUAGAUAUUAGGAAGAACACCAGUGGCGAAGGCGGCUCACUGGCCCGGUACUGACGCUGAGGCGCGAAAGCGUGGGGAGCAAACAGGAUUAGAAACCCCCGUAGUCC